rnacentral:tRNA from 1 species
ACAUCGGUGGCGGAGUGGAUAAUGCAGUCUGCCGGAAACAGAAAGACGUGGGUUCAAUUCCCGUCCGAUGUC